ensembl:misc_RNA Metazoa_SRP Metazoan signal recognition particle RNA
GCUGGGCAUGGUGGUGCGUGCCUGUAAUCCCAGCUACUUGGGAGGCUGAGGCAGGAGAAUAGCUUGAAUCCAGGAGGUGGAGGUUGCAGUGAGCUGAGAUCGCACCACUGCAUUCCAGCCUGGGUGACAGAGCGAGACUCCGUCUCAA